rnacentral:rRNA from 1 species
CCUACGGGAGGCCGCAGUGGGGAAUAUUGGGCAAUGGGCGCAAGCCUGACCCAGCAACGCCGCGUGAAGGAAGAAGGCUUUCGGGUUGUAAACUUCUUUUCUGAGGGACGAAGAAAGUGACGGUACCUCAGGAAUAAGCCACGGCUAACUACGUGCCAGCAGCCGCGGUAAUACGUAGGUGGCAAGCGUUAUCCGGAUGUAUUGGGUGUAAAGGGCGUGUAGGGGGGAAAGCAAUGCAGAUGUGAAAACUCAGGGCCUAACCCUGAGCCUGGAGUUGAAACUGUUUUUCGUGAGUGCUGGAGAGGCAAGCGGAAGUCCGGGUGUAGCGGGGAAAUGCGUAGAUAUACUGAAGAACACCAGUUGCGAAGGCGGAUUGCUGGACAGUAACUGACGCUGAGGCUCGAAAGCGUGGGGAGCAAACAGGAUUAGAUACCCGUGUAGUC